GGUUAAGUAGCCUAAAUAUAAGGUGUAACAUUGAAGCUGUUAAGAUGGACUUGAAGCCCUAGCCCA
rnacentral:tRNA from 1 species